rnacentral:rRNA from 1 species
AGAACGAACGCUGGCGGCAUGCCUAACACAUGCAAGUCGAACGAGACCUCCAUCUUCGGGUGGCGGGUCUAGUGGCGCACGGGUGCGUAACGCGUGGGAAUCUGCCCUUGGGUACGGAAUAACAGUUAGAAAUGACUGCUAAUACCGUAUAAUGACUUCGGUCCAAAGAUUUAUCGCCCAGGGAUGAGCCCGCGUAGGAUUAGCUUGUUGGUGAGGUAAAAGCUCACCAAGGCGACGAUCCUUAGCUGGUCUGAGAGGAUGAUCAGCCACACUGGGACUGAGACACGGCCCAGACUCCUACGGGAGGCAGCAGUGGGGGAAUAUUGGACAAUGGGCGAAAGCCUGAUCCAGCAAUGCCGCGUGAGUGAUGAAGGCCUUAGGGUUGUAAAGCUCUUUUGCCCGGGAUGAUAAUGACAGUACCGGAGAAUAAGCUCCGGCUAACUCCGUGCCAGCAGCCGC